rnacentral:rRNA from 1 species
UACAGAGGCCCCAAGCGUUGUUCGGAUUCAUUGGGCGUAAAGGGUGCGUAGGCGGCGCGGUAAGUCGGGUGUGAAAUCUCGGAGCUUAACUCCGAAACUGCAUUCGAUACUGCCGUGCUUGAGGACUGGAGAGGAGACUGGAAUUUACGGUGUAGCGGUGAAAUGCGUAGAUAUCGUAAGGAAGACCAGUGGCGAAGGCGGGUCUCUGGACAGUUCCUGACACUGAGGCACGAAGGCCAGGGGAGCAAACGGG